UUAUGCUUGUCGGCGGCUGGUUGCUACAAGAUUUGUGUAGCCGAUAGUACAGCUGAUAGUUUGCGCACUAUCUAACACUGCUACUAUAUCGAUCAGCUGCUCGAGUCACCGAGAAUGGAAGAACGCUGUGGAGUGAAGUUCGCGCGAAAAAAACUUUGUUUUUGUGGUCCCAGUGGGGAGAGAGCGAGAGAUAGCGGGACUGGAUUUCCCCUCCGCCCCUCAGCCCUGGCUGGAGCACCCGAUUUCACAUGGUUUCUGCGCUGUGGGAUUGCCCUUCACGCUUGGGCCAGGCUCGGAGGGUCUAAGGCUUGUUUUUUCCUGAUGAUCACUGGAGGUACACUA